GAUCAUUUAGUUUAUUUAAAAUAUAGAUUUUGUAAAUCUAAGUUAGUGUAUUUCUAUUGAUCU
rnacentral:tRNA from 1 species